rnacentral:rRNA from 1 species
UGGGGAAUAUUGCACAAUGGGCGCAAGCCUGAUGCAGCCAUGCCGCGUGUAUGAAGAAGGCCUUCGGGUUGUAAAGUACUUUCAGCGGGGAGGAAGGGAGUAAAGUUAAGACCUUUACUCAUUGACGUUACCCGCAGAAGAAGCACCGGCUAACUCCGUGCCAGCAGCCGCGGUAAUACGGAGGGUGCAAGCGUUAAUCGGAAUUACUGGGCGUAAAGCGCACGCAGGCGGUCUGUCAAGUCGGAUGUGAAAUCCCCGGGCUUAACCUGGGAACUGCAUUCGAAACUGGCAGGCUAGAGUCUUGUAGAGGGGGGUAGAAUUCCAGGUGUAGCGGUGAAAUGCGUAGAGAUCUGGAGGAAUACCGGUGGCGAAGGCGGCCCCCUGGACAAAGACUGACGCUCAGGUGCGAAAGCGUGGGGAGCAAACAGG